AAAAAUGUAAAUACCUUUAUUAUAAAACAAAUUCCACCUGUUAUUGAUGAUCCUAAAUGGGAAUCUUAUCCCAUUAAAUUUCAUGGAUAUUAUGAUUUAUUAGAAGAAGCUAGACAGAGAGCAACAAACUAUUCUUCAAAUAAGGAAAGCAAUAUAAAUGAAAUAAAGAAGUCCGCACAAGACAGUUGAAUAAAACUGUUUCUCACGAUGAGUCAGAAUCUGAUUCUGAUGACUCACGUUUAGUUAUACCAAAUCCACCAAAUCUUACUGUAAAUACAAAUGCCUCGCAAUCAAUUAACAAAAGUCAAUCUAUCGCAACUGUUAUUAAUUCAUCAGUUGUCAGCAAUGAUAUUGACCUGGAGAUUCUUGAUGGAAUUUUAGUAUCACUUAAAAGUAUACAGGAUGUACAUACGUUAAUAUCAGAUGGAUUCGAAAAAAUGGAAGGUCAUUUUAAGAAUAUAUAUACAGCUAUAACUACAGUUACAUUAGGAAUACAAGAAUGAAUACUAAAUGUUCAUUUAACAAAUAUAGAAAAACAAAAUAAUCAACAUAAAUCCAAAGCAUCUGUCACGGAUACAUCAAAUAUACAUCAAUUUUUUCCAUUUAAAAAUAUAAAUGAAGUAACAGCUUUUGAAAACCGUUUAUCA